rnacentral:rRNA from 1 species
CCUACGGGUGGCAGCAGUGGGGAAUAUUGCGCAAUGGGCGAAAGCCUGACGCAGCGACGCCGCGUGAGGGAUGAAGGUCUUCGGAUCGUAAACCUCUGUCAGCAGGGAAGAACGGUCACUGUGCUAAUCAGCAGUGAAUUGACGGUACCUGCAAAGGAAGCACCGGCUAACUCCGUGCCAGCAGCCGCGGUAAUACGGAGGGUGCGAGCGGUAAUCGGAAUUACUGGGCGAAAAGCGCUCGUAGGCGGUAUGCCAAGUCAAGGGUGAAAUACCCGCGCUCAACGUGGGAACUGCCUUUGAAAAUGGCAAACUGGAGUGUGUGAGAGGAUAGUGGGAUUCCAGGGGGAGGAGGGGAAUCGG